rnacentral:rRNA from 1 species
GAUGAACGCUGGCGGCGUGCCUAACACAUGCAAGUCGAACGAAGCGCCUUUUAAGAUUCUUCGGAUGAUUGAUUGGUGACUGAGUGGCGGACGGGUGAGUAACGCGUGGGUAACCUGCCCUGUACAGGGGGAUAACAGUUGGAAACGGCUGCUAAUACCGCAUAAGCGCACGAGAGGACAUCCUCUUGUGUGGAAAACUCCGGUGGUACAGGAUGGGCCCGCGUCUGAUUAGCUGGUUGGCAGGGUAACGGCCUACCAAGGCGACGAUCAGUAGCCGGUCUGAGAGGAUGAACGGCCACAUUGGAACUGAGACACGGUCCAAACUCCUACGGGAGGCAGCAGUGGGGAAUAUUGCACAAUGGGGGAAACCCUGAUGCAGCAACGCCGCGUGAGUGAAGAAGUAUUUCGGUAUGUAAAGCUCUAUCAGCAGGGAAGAAAAUGACGGUACCUGACUAAGAAGCACCGGCUAAAUACGUGCCAGCCGCCGCCGUAA